UACAGAGGGUGCGAGCGUUAAUCGGAAUUACUGGGCGUAAAGAGCUCGUAGGUGGUUUGUCGCGUUGUCCGUGAAAACUCACAACUCAAUUGUGGGCGUGCGGGCGAUACGGGCAGACUGGAGUACUGCAGGGGAGACUGGAAUUCCUGGUGUAGCGGUGGAAUGCGCAGAUAUCAGGAGGAACACCGGUGGCGAAGGCGGGUCUCUGGGCAGUAACUGACGCUGAGGAGCGAAAGCGUGGGGAGCGAACAGG
rnacentral:rRNA from 1 species